GACGAACCGUGCGAACGUUAUUCGGAAUCACUGGGCUUAAAGGGCGCGUAGGCGGGCCGAGAAGCCAGGGGUGAAAUCCUCCAGCCCAACUGGAGAAGCGCCUUUGGAACUGGCGGCCUCGAGGGGUGCAGGGGCAUGCGGAACUCAGGGUGGAGCGGUGAAAUGCGUAGAUAUCCUGAGGAACACCGGUGGCGAAAGCGGCGUGCUGGACACCUUCUGACGCUGAGGCGCGAAAGCCAGGGGAGCGAACGGG
rnacentral:rRNA from 1 species